GCAACUCGACUGCAUGAAGUCGGAAUCGCUAGUAAUCGCGGAUCAGCAUGCCGCGGUGAGUACGUUCCCGGGCCUUGUACACACCGCCCGUCACACCAUGAGAGUCGGGAACACCCGAAGUCCGUAGCCUAACCGCAAGGGGGGCGCGGCCGAAGGUGGGUUCAUAAUUGGGGUGAAGUCGUAACAAGGUAAC
rnacentral:rRNA from 1 species